GUGAAGAACGUAGCGAAAUGCGAUACUUGGUGUGAAUUGCAGAAUCCCGUGAACCAUCGAGUCUUUGAACGCAAGUUGCGCCCGAAGCCGUCAGGCCGAGGGCACGCCUGCCUGGGCGUCACACGCCGUUGCCCCCCCCGCGCCCCGCACCCAACUCUUUGGGAGCGACCGCGGGGCGGGCUGAUGAUGGCCUCCCGUGCGCUCCGCCGCGCGGUUGGCCCAAAUACCGAGUCCCCGGCGACGUGCGCCACGACGAUCGGUGGUUGAGAGACCUCUGUCGCAAGUCGUGCGCGCCCGUCGCGUCACGCGGGCUCGCAUAGCGCCUCGCGCCGCACCCGGUGCGGAGCUUUCAACGCGACCCCAGGUCAGGCGGGGUUACCCGCUGAAUUUAAGCAUAUCAAUAAGCGGAGGA
rnacentral:misc_RNA from 1 species